GUGCUCACUUCGGCAGAACACAUGCCAAAACUGGGACGAUACAAAGAUUAGCAUGGCCCCUGCACAAGGAUGGCACGCAAACUGGUGAAGUGUUCAGUGUUUUA